GUAAAGGGUGUAGAGAUAGCGAGGAUUAGCGGGGUCCCGGGCCGAGGCUAGCGGCCCCUCAGUGUUACCCGCGGAAUGGCUGCCGAGUACCACGUCGCUCAGCCAUAGACUGUUUUAAUGGCGAAAAAUAAUUCCAAACCCAUAUGUGAUCCAAACCCUCUUCUUUCGUGCCAAGAUGUCCUAUCUGUACCAAGUUCAGGAGAUCUUAGGUUCUAUGCAUUGUCAGCCAAAGAGUGUGUAGACGACUGCUUGGUCAGUCCACUCGGUGUUUCUUCUUCAGGGAGCUCGGAUUCAGAGGCCUUCUCUCUCAUAGUCAAGUGUUGUGUAGGUGGUGAGUUGUGCACCAGAAUGGACAGCCACUGUGAAGCACACCAGGCCAAUGCGGUCACAAACUUGCCAAAUCCUGAGUUUCCUACCAACAAAGUGCCUGAUACCUCUACAGAUGUGGAGACCUUUGGCAUGGUGUGUGAAGCACAAAGUAAAAGGGAUGUGGACCACAGAUGUAGCAGCAGCCAGAGCAUUUUAAGUGCUGAUGACAGUGCCAGUAUGGCAGCUAAUGAAAUAAGCAGCACGCCAGUAUCAGCAGCUGGCCGUGAGUCCCCAGUAACAGAUGGUGAGGCGGAUGGGGUUGGAGCUGACCCAUACUUGCCUUGCCAAUCUGUUGAAUCUUCUUCUGUGAUAUUCAGCUCCACGCCGUUAUGUGGUCACAUCUCCGUUGCCGGUGCUCGCGUCAGCAGCAGAGAUGAGGAGCCCAAGGGCACCAUGGGGCCCAGCCGUCCGUCCUCGACCACUGCCCCUGGGUCCCCUGGGCUGGGGGGGUCCCCUGGGGAGACACUUGUGACCCCCUCUGGCCAGCAAGGUGUUGUGACAGUUAGAGCAGCAUCAAGCCAUUGUUGUGUAGUUGGGGCUGAGGCUUCCUGUACCACAUGUUCGCUGCACAACACCUCUCAGCCAACUCAGAAGUCAUCACCAGCUGUAGCACACACACCUGCACAGGCCAGUCUCAACAUUCCUGGCUCAAUGGCCAACAAUAAUGCCAAUAGCCAACUCCAGGGUAGCAACCCUAGCUUUAACCAGGAGGUAAAGCAGGCUACAGCCAGCUUACUCCUAAUAAGUGCAACCUGCAACCAAUACGCUUCAUUUCCUACUUCAUCAAAAUUCCAGGCUGCAGGCAAGCCUGGAAAAUUUGGUUUUGCUUCCUUCCCCCAUGGCUUUAUUAAAGUUAAUAAGUGGGGCAUUCCACGUGGCUUGGGUCUCGUAGGCGGGGGGGAAAGUGCAGCCAAUGGGUGGGGAGGAUCAGCCCCUCAAACAGCUGGGUGGGGUAGCUCUGGUGCCAACCAGUCCGGUUCACAGAGCCAGUGGGGUGGAGGUCCCAGUCGGGGUGGAGGGGCUCCCAACACAUCACCUGCCCAGGGAGGUAACCUCAAACCAGCACAGCAAUCUAGUGGUCCUGCCCAGCAGCCCAGUUCUCCAGCAGGCCAGCAGAACACACAGACUGGAGGAACUGGAGGGCAGCAGGGACCAACAGGAGUCAGUCAGCAGCAGACUCAGCAAGGUACCAGUGGACAAGGAGGCAAUAGUAAUAACACUUGGGCACAAGCUGCAGGGAAAGGUCUUCCAGCUGGUAGUGGGUCAGGAGAUGCUCAAAAACGUCACAUGGAGCAGCAACUGCAGAGUAUCAGGGAAGCAUUGCUCAGCAGUGAAGGUUGGGGUGGAGAAAAUGUGAACCAGGAUACCUCGUGGGAUCUUCCAGGAUCGCCAGAACCUGGUAAAGAUUCAAGUGCACCCCAUUUUAAACUUAAUGUUAACAACGGAUGUGACCUAUGGGAAAACAAUUUGCGAAAUGGUGGGGCUGCACCCCCUAAAGCUCAGCAAGCUCCGUGGGGUCACACCCCAGCCACGAACUAUGGGGGUACAUGGGGAGAAGAUGACGAUGCCACAGACUCUUCUAAUGUUUGGACUGGUGUCCCACCCAAUAAUCCACAGUGGGGAGCUAACACACCUAGUGCUCCUAACAUGUGGGGUGGUGGUGCACCUCCAAAGAAAAAUAUUGAUUGGAGUGGUAGCGGUGGCGGUGGUGGGGGCGGCGGUGGCGGGGGUGGUGGCGGUGGCGGCGGCAGCAGCAGCGGUGGUGGCGGCGGCAGUGGUGGUGGUGGAAGUGGUGGCAGCGGAUGGGGAGAACAUGGACCACAAAGAUCUGGAAUUGAAAAUCCUCCCAGUGAAUGGGGACCUGGGGGCCCUCACAAACCUGGACCUCAUGUUGCGCAUACUGGUCCACACACAGGCCCUCACACUAGUCCCCACAGUGGUCCACAUGGUGGUCCCCAUAGUGGCCCUCAUACAGGUCCACAUGCAGGGCCUCACACAGGCCCACACAAUGGCCCACAUGGUGGACCCCACAAUGGCCCUCAUGGUGGACCUCAUGGUGCACCCCACAGUGGGCCACAUGGUGGUCCUCAUAAUGGACCUCAUGGUGGCCCUCACAGUGGUCCUCAUGGUAGUCUUACUCAUGGAGUUCCUCCUGGUGGUCCAGGAGGUCCAGCACAAUGGAAUGGUCCUAAAGACAUUAAGCCAGGUGGACCAAGUGGCCCUAGUGGAUGGGAGGAGCCUUCACCACCCUCACAACGACGAGAUGAUGGCACAGCUGUGUGGGGCAAUCCACAGCAACAAGCUAAUGUCUCACGGUGGAAGGAUAUGCCUACUCCUAACAUGAUGGGAAGGCCUGGAAUUCCAGGGCCACAGCCGGGACGUAUGCCAGGACCACCAGUUCCAUCAGGAAUAAAACCAGAUCAGCGAAUGUGGGGACAGCAUGGGAGAAAUGGCAGCUGGAGUGACGCCCCUCACGAUACGGGUAGUGGCAUGUGGGGGGAGGAUCCCAAAUCAGCUGGUUGGGGAGAACAACCAAUUACAUCACCAUCGUCAUGGGGCACAAAACCGAAGACCCCAACAGGAGGUCCUGGCGGUCCUGUUGGUUGGGGUGAAUCUGAAAUGGAACUUCAAGGCUGGGGACACCAAAACAAGAUGAGUGGUUAUCCUCCUCUACUUGAUCUCAGAUCUCCCAAAGCUCUCAUACCCGAGUCCCACUUCCCAUUUGCUAUGAGUGGUUAUCCUCCUCUACUUGAUCUCAGAUCUCCCAAAGCUCUCAUACCCGAGUCCCACUUCCCAUUUGCUGUUCCUAAGGGUCUCUCAAAAGAAAUAAUCUACAACAGCAAGCAAUUUCGUACACUCCUGGAGAUGGGUUAUAAGAAGGAAGACAUUGAAGCUGCACUUCGCAACAAUAAUAUGGGUUUGGACGACACACUAAUGGAGCUUGGCAACCGCGGGGUAACUGCUACCGGGAGUGCGAGUGAUGCCUGGCGCAACCCUCCUCUAGACGAACAUAUUCCUUUCGAUAUUAACAAUCCCAACUUCCAGCAACGCUUCCCUCCAGCACCGCAUCAUCUAUUUCCUUCUCAACCAACUUGUUUACAGCAGGGUGGAUCUGGCAACUCCCCGCAUGUCCGUGCUCUUAUGCAGCAUAUCCAGAUGGCAGUGCAGGCGGGCUACCUCAACCCCCAGAUCCUGAACCAACCCCUGGCCCCCACCACACUCGUGCUCCUCAAUAAUAUGCUCUCGCACAUUAAUGUGCUACAAAAGUUCUCCCAGCAGCAAGCCCUUUGGCAAGCUCAGGCUCACCUCAACAAAAAUUCUUCACAAACUCUUCUUCAGCUCAACAUUAAUAUCACUAAAACUAAGCAGCAAAUCCAAAACUUACAGAAUCAGAUAGCUGCCCAGCAGGCCUUGUAUGUGAAGCAGCAGCAGCAGCAGCAUCACCACCAACUUCACUCCCACUUGACAGGUGGUCCCCCUGGCACUCAAAAUGACUUUUUCAACAAGCCCAGUCUUCCAGAUCAGCUGUAUCCUAGUAACUUCCCUCAGAUGCCAGUCAGUGAAAACCCUCCAGCAAUAAACAUUGGGCAACAUGGAAGCCGUUUACAUCAGUGGAAGCUGCCUUCUCUGGAAAAUGAUGACAAUGACUUCAUUCGUGCUCCUGGAGCCCCAGGAAAACCUGCCAUGCCACAGUCUCAUUCAUCUCCAAAUUUAACACCUCUGCUGGGACCAUCAAAUAGUACCUGGUCUCUAAAUCGCACCUCUGAGACUGGGUGGCCAGAUAGUAGCAGUGCUGGCAAUGACAACAGCACUGGUGGUGUUGACAAGGGAGUGCCGAAUAUGGAUUCGCAGUGGGCAACCUCCUCACAGGCCAAUGCCUCGGGGUCCUAUGGCCUUGACAUUAAGCCUUUUGAACCUGGGAAACCAUGGAUGAUGAAGAAUAUUGAGGAUGACCCAAAUAUAACGCCGGGUUCAGUGACACGUUCUCCUUUGUCCUUGGGUAUUAAGGACUCAGAGUUGUUGUCAUCCAUCAGCAAGACCCCGACCACCAACACUGUUUCAGACAUGACCAGCCAUCUCACCUCUCUCUCACUCUCCUCCAACACUUGGAGCUUCAACCCUGGACCCGGCCACCACACCACCAACUCUCCGCUGUCAGGAUUGAUGGUUCUACCCUGAAGACACUGUGCAUGCAGCAUGGGCCGCUGGUCAACUUCUACCUGUCUCUUAACCAUGGCUUUGCUCUCGUCAACUACGGCUCUAGAGAGGAAGCUGCUAAGGCCCAAGGUAAUCUCAAUAAUUGCCUGUUGAGCAAUACCACAAUCCUGGCUGAGUUUGCUUGUGACAGUGAAGUAAAGCAAGUAAUGGGCCAACAAACCCACCAGAGCCAAGGUGCCCCACCCACUCCUGCCCCAUCU
rnacentral:misc_RNA from 1 species